CUCCCUCUCCUUGAAUAUAGGCUGGACUUCCUGACUCAUUUCAAAGAGUGACUUCCAAGGCUAGGUCACAAAGACCAUUGUUGCCCCGCUCUCUUUGAUGACUCACUCUGGGUGAAAUUAGCUGCCAUUUUGUGAGAACACUCAACAGCCCUGUGGAGAGGCCCAUGUGGGAAGAACUAAGUCCUCCCUCCAACAGCCAGCACCAACAUGCAGGCUCAUGGAAACCCCAGGAAAGGCUGUGCUCUUGAGCUUCUCUUCCCUCUCUGCCUCCUGACUGACACUGCUGCUUUCACCUGUAGCCCUUCGUGGCUCACUAUACCUUCUGCUUCUAGGGGCACUAAUCUGAAAUGGCUAGAAAAGGACAUCUGAGCACCAAAACCAGCAUCACAGUGUCUAUCUACACCAAGCACCUUACUCUUAGGUAAGCUUUCUGAGCCUUCACUCAUAGCCUUUUUAC